rnacentral:rRNA from 1 species
UACAGAGGGUGCGAGCGUUAAUCGGAAUUACUGGGCGUAAAGCGUGCGCAGGCGGUUUUGUAAGCCAGGUGUGAAAUCCCCGGGCUCAACCUGGGAAUGGCAUUUGGGACUGCAAGGCUGGAGUGCGGCAGAGGAGACUGGAAUUCCUGGUGUAGCAGUGAAAUGCGUAGAUAUCAGGAGGAAUACCGAUGGCGAAGGCAGGUCUCUGGGCUGACACUGACGCUCAUGCACGAAAGCGUGGGGAGCAAACAGG